GAUGAAGAACGUAGCGAAAUGCGAUAAGUAAUGUGAAUUGCAGAAUUCCGUGAAUCAUCGAAUCUUUGAACGCACAUUGCGCCCUCUGGUAUACCGGGGGGCAUGCCUGUCCGAGCGUCAUUUGCAACCCUCAAGCCCGGCUUGUGUGAUGGGUGCCGUCCCCUACGGGACGCGCCCCGAAGGCAAUGGCGGCGUCGCGGUUAUCCGAUCAGCCAAAGUGUAUGGGGCUUUGUCACUCACUUUACGGCCCGGACCGGCGCCAGUCCGAAUCAAUCUUUUUUCUAAAGUUGACCUCGGAUCAGGUAGGGAUACCCGCUGAACUUAAGCAUAUCAAUAAGCGGAGGA
rnacentral:misc_RNA from 1 species